GAAGUGUUUUGAACUUACAUCG
rnacentral:snRNA from 1 species